CUCAAACUGACCCACACAGAGUUAUAUCUGCAGCUCAAUAGCUGUCAUCACUCAGCAAAGUGCAGUAGCGUGUGACGCUCCGUGCUACAUAGAGGGCAAGCGGUCUCAGAUUCCGACACCCUGCCAGAACAACUUCUCUGUCAGCAAACCAAAGACUUUUGCAGAGAUGGUAGUUCCAGACCAGUGCUGUUGUGGGUGCUCGCUCAGGAAGGGCACCAUCAUCAUUGCCGUCUUGUGUAUGGUUUGGUGCCUGUUUCAAUUAGCAAUAAUAGCGUACAGUUUGCACAACACCCUUGAGUACUUCAGCGGUGAUGUAAACAUGGAAACGUCAGAAAUUAUUUUAGAAGACUGAGCGUGACGGUUUCCCAACAGACACCGAAAUCCUGCCCUGCCCUGCACUGUGCUGCCCACGCCGACACAGCCGCUGCGGUACAGACAUACAGCAAGAAUUAACGCAUUUCGUAUUAUUGUUACAUACUUGUCUUCUGACAAACUACCAUUCAGUUUUUGUUGAUUUAAUGAAUUUAGUGGUAAAAUAAACAAAACGUUGCUCAAAGUUUCUCACAAGAUCAUGAUUUUACAAAUCCAUUAACAUUAAGAUGUGUAAUUGCGUAAAAUUAAU